ACGGGAGACAGAUGAACACUGAGGAAACUGCCCGGGUAGCAGUGAUUAGGCCAGGCCUGCUGGCCAGUGGGUCCGGGAGAUUCUCUGCCUCCCAGUGCUGGGAUCGCAAGCCAGUACCACCGCUUGGUCCUUUUUUUGUUGCUGUUGUUUUGUUUAAGCAUAGGUUAUAGGGACUGAACUUCGGUACUCAUGCUUGAAUGCCAAGCAGUUUAUAGACUGAGCCAGCUUUCCAACUCCUCCUAGGUCCUGGCCUCAGGUUACAUUUUGAACAACUUAAACUGAGAAAGGAGAAUGCAAGUCUGUCUACUUGAGCACAUGGAAGAUUUACACAACAAAGAUAUUACUGGAGCAUUGUCCGAUUUAGAAAACAGGAAUUGCAGAUACAGAGAGAGGCACAGAGGGAUGACAGCAGAGAGAAGGCAAGUCCCCCGAAGGCUGAGGACUGGAGCAACAUUCGUGACCAAGAGAAGAUUGCUUGGAAAUUCUGGAACUAUGAAGAGGCCAGGAAAGACUCCUCUACAGACUCUACCGGCAUCGGAAGGAGUUUAAUUUGGCUCAGUCAAUGCGUCAGACCGCUUGCUUCCAGAACUGGGAGAUUAUUCAUGGCUGCAUACAUUGCCAACCCUCUAACCCUUGCCUUUGUUUUUAAAGCCAUUCUGUUUGCGGGGCUCAGUUAGAGCAGCCCUCGCAUGCCUGUACACGCGAUAGAGCGUCAAGGACAGUGGCAGGCCUGGAACCUGGUCCGAGGUAGGUGAGACACUAAGAAAGAAUGAAAUAGCAAGAAACAAUCAAAGGCGGCCUAGAAGUCCGUUUCUCCUUGAGUUUUGGGUGGCUUCCACCAGGGGGCAGAGCGGGACUUCUGUGCACAAGAAGGAAAAGGCUCUCAAGACAAACCUCCAGCAGGCUAAUUCCCUGAAGCUAAGACCACACCUCAAAUACCAUCCUACCUCAUUCCACCCUACCUCACUGCCCCCAAACACCACUACCACCCGACCCCAUCCCCAAAACAUUCCCACCUCCGCUCUACCUUCAAAAAACGUCCCUGUUCACACUCUGCGCCCCCAAACACUACCGCUACCACAGUUCCCCGCUAGGGGGAGUAGAGGUCAAAGAGACUCCCCCAGUGCUAGAGGAAAAGAGAACCAGGCUAGGAGAGCGCAGUUUGAUUUUCAGUGCACCACACUCUUUCAUGCAUGCUGUAGGGGACAGGCCAUCUGCUUUUCCUUCAAACAGAUCUUGAAUCCAUUCUCAAUUCAGCAGUACUCUGGUGGAAAACAGUUAACAUCUGUAUCCUAGGAAUACAUCUGAGAUGACUGGCCAGAAACUCGUGUUUUCCUGCCAUUGCUUCCGCAACCUCACACCCCUGACCAUAGCGGACCUCAGGGUUUUGACAGGAGGGACCGGAAAUACAAACAGGAAGGAGCGCAUUGAGUCCCUUCUGGGGGACUUACACGCUGAUGGCGAGUUAAAGCCAAGAACAUCUUCUUCAGCGUGUGAGCCAGGGUGCUCACAUCAGACACAUCUUUCCAAAGAGCACACAUUCUCGACCCUUGAGUAUCUAGUACAGGAAUGCUGGUCUGUUUGCAAAGGUCCAGGCUGAAGGGCAAA